rnacentral:lncRNA from 1 species
CGAUAUCAUGCCUUUGAGAUGUUAGAGACCAGUGCGCUGGGUUUAGGGCAAGACCUAGGUUUACUUUCGGUUUAAGGAUUGUGCGGUGACUAACCGGCUAUCGUUUUUCCUGUCGCGAUUUCUUCCUGAUUCGUAUCGAUGUAAAGUCUGCGAAAAGUUCUCGGCUUAUACGACUUGUUUGAUACGAAUCGAGCAUCUCUCCGGAGACCGGAAGUGCUAGACCAAAAUUUCGGAUUUCUUUUAUAGCGCUAUUAUCCUUGUGUCGGAUGUAAGAGAGUCAUCUUCGUGAGAUGUCUAUGUCUGUUUAGGACGUUUAUGAGUUCGAUGUGAUCAGCAUCGGACUUGGUGGUGUGUGCUGUUGUUUUGAUUAUUUUGCGCAAAAUAAAUGUUAAUGUGUGCAUGUAUGUGUCUUUUUGCGGAGAUUUCGUUUGCUCGGAAGAAACCAACUUUGAGGCAUCUUUUGCGACGUCUCGCGAUGCUAAAGGUUGAUUCUCCCAAGCGGCCGACUGAUUUCCG